ensembl:lncRNA
UAAACGCAACACUUUUGUUUUUGCCUCCAUUCUUCAUGAGCUGAACUCAAAGAUCUAAGACUUUUCCUAUGUACACAAAAUGUAGACACAAAUCUGUCUAAAUCUGUGUUAGUGAGCACUUCUUUUUUGCUGAGAUAAUCCAUACACCUCACAGGUGUGGCAUAUCAAGAUGCCGAUUAGACAGCAUGAUUAUUGCACAGGUGUGCCUUAGGCUGGCCACAAUAAAAGCCCAUUCUAAAAUGUGGGAGGCAUGAUUGAUUUUAGUCCAAAAGGAUCUUUAAAAAUAUUUAACUUAAAUGGUUAUAUGAAACCGUGAUGAAAUGGUAAAAUCACAAAAUAGUACGCUAUUUAACUCAAAAGUAUGAUAUCAAACAAUGAGAUAUGAGUGAGAAAACUAACCUUUGGGGAGACAGCUCAGUUGUCAGCAAGACUGAAGUGAGCAUCAUAAGUGUUCAGGGAGUAAGGAGCACUGAACACUGUGUAGAGACUGUCAACAGGCUUCGCUCCAUCAGAAGGUGGCAACCUCUUCUUCUGAUGCUUAAACAGCUUGGAUGCCAUGGCAUGAACAACUUUACACAGUUAGCAUGUCCAAAUUUUAAGAAAAUAUCCAGUUCAGGCACAAUGAACAACAUGCUCACCUCAGGCAGUUUCUCAUCUCCAAGUCAAAGUAGUGCUCAUGAUGAUGAUCCUUCUCAAAAUGAAAGGUUAGUAUAUAUUUUAUUUUGCCUAUUAAGCUAAAAUUGAAUUAAGUUAAUUUAUUUUGAGGUAAAGAUUUAUGUUAUUAGAAUUUUUUUUUUGCUAUGAGCUCUAGAUAAAAUUCAGACACCUUCAACAUUUCUCACAUUAUCAGUUUAUUUGCUAUAGUUUAGAAAAUGGUAAUAAAAUAUAACACAAACUCA